GCCCCCAUAGCUUAACCCACAAAG
rnacentral:piRNA from 1 species